rnacentral:rRNA from 1 species
UACGGGGGGAGCAAGCGUUGUUCGGAUUUACUGGGCGUAAAGGGCGCGUAGGCGGUCGUGACAAGUCACUUGUGAAAUCUCCAGGCUCAACUUGGAGGGGUCGUCGAAGACUGGCGAACUAGGGUCUGGCAGAGGCAGGUAGAAUUCCCGGUGGAGCGGUGAAAUGCGUAGAGAUCGGGAGGAAUACCAGUGGCGAAGGCGGCCUGCUGGGCCACGACCGACACUGAGGUGCGAAAGCGUGGGGAGCGAACCGG